rnacentral:tRNA from 1 species
UGGGGCGUCGACAAGCGGUAAGUCACGGGCCUUUGGAGCCCGCAUUCGGUGGUUCGAAUCCACCCGCCCCAG